GCCGGCAGAUGUAGCACGUUGAAUGCACCCAGUUCCCCAUAGGUCAUUAAAAGUUCAGCAACCUAGUGCGUGGUUAGUAUACGGAUGGGUGACCAUCUGAACAAUCCCGUGCUGCUGGCU
rnacentral:rRNA from 1 species